GACGAACGCUGGCGGCGUGCUUAACACAUGCAAGUCGAACGGAAAGGCCCUGCUUUUGUGGGGUGCUCGAGUGGCGAACGGGUGAGUAACACGUGAGUAACCUGCCCUUGACUUUGGGAUAACUUCAGGAAACUGGGGCUAAUACCGGAUAGGAGCUCCUGCUGCAUGGAGGGGGUUGGAAAGUUUCGGCGGUUGGGGAUGGACUCGCGGCUUAUCAGCUUGUUGGUGGGGGAGUGGCUUACCAAGGCUUUGACGGGUAGCCGGCCUGGGAGGGUGACCGGCCACAUUGGGACUGAGGUACGGCCCAGACUCCUACGGGAGGCAGCAGUGGGGAAUAUUGCACAAUGGGCGGAAGCCUGAUGCAGCAACGCCGCGUGCGGGAUGACGGCCUUCGGGUUGUAAACCGCUUUCGCCUGUGACGAAGCGUGAGUGACGGUAAUGGGUAAAGAAGCACCGGCUAACUACGUG
rnacentral:rRNA from 1 species